ACAUAAAUUGAGACUAUAGCCUUCGAUAUCUAGUACAGAUAAACAUCGAUUUCUUGCUAGAUUCUCUCCGGGAAAAAUGAGUUGAGAAUGUUUCUCAAGUUUUCAAUUAAUUAAAAGUGAUAAGCGAAUUUCAUAAUAUUAUUAAGUUAAAAAAUUAAAACCACUCAAACAAUUAAAGACAAUUGUUCGACAAUUACAUUAGUUGUCCCUAUAACUAUCAAAGUUAUUCAAUAACUUCACACGAUUAUUGAAUAACUUUACACAUUUACCGAACAACUUUGAUAAUUAUUGAGAUAACUUAUGUAGUUGUUAAUACAAAUUUUAUAGUCAAAAAUAUUAAAAUAAAACAUAAAAAAUAAUUCUUUUUUUUUCUAAUUUUUAAAAUUUAAAAGACCUCACUUAAUAAACAACUUAUUUUUCACUUUUAAUCGCAAAACCCAUUCCCCAAAAAGGAAAACAAAAACUAGUUACAGUAAUAAAAAGCAGGUUUUUGCAGCUUUUCAUUUGACACACAUCUUGAUAGAAAAUUCUUUCCUACCCUAUUCUUUAUCUGCAAAAAAAUCAAUCUUUUCUUGAUACCCUAAUGGAAACUUUGAAAAUCUUGGAACCAAACCUUGUUGGAUUCAGUCUUUUAUUCUCUGUGAUAUAUUUCUUUGGAUAUUUUAUCAUCUUCAAAGAUUGGAAAGAAAAAGUGAGGUCUGAUGCUUCAAGUUGUAUCAUGUCUUUAGUACAUGGUACCCCUGCAGUUAUUUUAUCCAUAUACUCGAUGUUACAGAAUUCACAAACCUCAUUCCAAAAUCUUGUUUUUUCCACCAAAAAUGCAUCAUUCCAAGAAAUGAUACUUGAAUACAGCAUUGCUUACUUCUUAGCUGACCUUUUGUAUUACUUUGUCUUUUAUCCAAUUUUAUGUUCUAUUCAUUGCUCAUUAGUGUCUUUAUUACAUGGUACCCAUGCAGUUAUUUUAUCCAUACACAAACCUCAUUCCAAAAUCUUGUUUUUUCCACCAAAAAUGCAUCAUUCCAAGAAAUGAUACUUGAAUACAGCAUUGCUUACUUCUUAGCUGACCUUUUGCAUUACUUUGUGUUUUAUCCAACUGAUGUUCUAUUCAUUGCUCAUCAUUUGGCUACCCUUUAUGCCUUCUUAACUUAUCGGUUUGUCGUUCAUCAUGGUGCAGCCACCCUUAUUGGCCUUGUUCCAGCAGAGAUCACAAGUCCUUUCCAGAACACAUUGGACUCUUGCCAGGUACAGAAAAGUCAGAUACGCCUAUGGCUGCUAAGUUGUAUGAAAAAUUAUCUCCAGCAUUUUAUAUGUUGUAUAGUUUGGUUAGGGGAAUUCUUGGACCCUUGUUUGUUUACAAGAUGGGGUUGGCUUUGCAAGUGGAAAAGCAGAUGGUGUGAUUUCUAGGCCUAUGUGGACUUCUUGAAUGGUUGUGAUUGUAAGUGCAAUCUUGGUUAGUAUAUUGUGGGUUAUGAAUCGUUGGGUAGAAUUGUUUAGCCAAAGACAGAGGAAGCACUUGAAGAAAUGUAAUUGAUACACACAUUGGAUGAUUGGCUUAAAGAAUUUGAAUGUUGAACUAGUCUGCAGCUAGCUAUAAUGGGGGCUAAACUUACAUUUUGUACACUUGUACACUUGUGUAAAUUAUGUUGUUCGCACAAAUGAUUUUUUUUUUCUGUCGCCAUUUAAUUUCUUAUUUAGAUACAUAUAAGUGGACUGUUCAAAUUUGAUGCCAAAUUAAAGGGCAUAUUUAUGUAUUAUGCCUUGCAUGGAAGUACUAACAAACACUCCCUAAAAACUGAAAAUAACUUCCCUGGCAAACUCAAGUCUUAGAACACUAACGAAACACUCGACUUAAAAGUGAACCAUCCUCUCCAGCAUCUCAUGGUUGA